rnacentral:sRNA from 1 species
GCCAGGCGUGGGGGUGUAUGCCUGUAAUCCCAGCUACCCUGGAGGCUGAGGCAAGAGGAUGGCAAGUUCAAGGACAGCCUGGGCAAUUUAGCAAAGCCCCGUCUCAA